UGGCGAUCAUAGCGAGGAACUUAAACCCGAUCCCAUCCCGAACUCGGCCGUUAAAGCCCUCCGCGCCUAUGGUACUGUGCCUCAAGACACGGAAGAGUCGGUCGUCGCCA
rnacentral:rRNA from 1 species